rnacentral:rRNA from 1 species
UACGGAGGGUGCAAGCGUUAAUCGGAAUUACUGGGCGUAAAGCGCACGUAGGUGGUUUGUUAAGCCAGCUGCGAAAUCCCCGGGCUCAACCUGGGCACUGCAGUUGGAACUGGCAAGCUAGAGUAGGGUAGAGGGGUGUGGAAUUCCAGGUGUAGCGGUGAAAUGCGUAGAUAUCUGGAGGAGUACCGGUGGCGAAGGCGGCCUCCUGGUUCAAUACUGACGCUGAGGUGCGAAAGCGUGGGGAGCAAACAGG